GCAGCCAGCCUCCUUGUCCUCGGGGAGCACUUCCUCCCCUCUGCAAUGGGAAUGUUUUUUGGACUGGAAUUGCUGCUAUUUGCAAACUUGUUCAGCCCCUGACUUUUCUCGUUGGGUGAGUGCGGCUCUCCCGCACAGAGCAACGCGCACCUGCUGUCUGCCAGCACUGAGUGACGGCUGCUGAUGGAAUCUACGUGGGAAAGCCCUUCGCCAUCAAAAGGCUCUGGCUGUGUGGACGGAUGCAGAGUACUGCCCGUUGGCUCUGACCUAGCCAGGCACAAGCCAGCUCCAGGCUGGGAGCGCACCGCAGCGCGUGCUGGCUGGCCACUGACCCCGAGCUGUCCCAGCCUGGCUGGAACUGCAUCCCCACGUGCUGAGGAGAGCUGCCCUCUGGAAGGCGUCUCUGCUGCUGCUGUGAGAACACAAUCCUGGUGAGAGAGGCCCAGCUAAGCACAGCUCCUUUCAGAUUUGGCCGCUCAGUGUUUUCCAUUAGCUUGAUACAUGCUGUUUACAUCCUACUGCCGCCAGUGCCAGAGAUAACUGCCUUGGGAGCAGCUCCCUGCAGGUAUUGUUAGCAGCUGCUGGAAACAAAGGCGUUUGUUUUAGCCACGUCACUGUCUAAACAGCCAGAAAUAGAUUGCUUUUUUUAUUGCUAGUACGCCAAUAAAAAUCGGUCCGGUUCUCCUGGCCAAAAGAUGCCUUCUGAGAAUCUUGCGUGCUGUGAGGGCUGGCAUCUGUGCAAACAGCCCAGCAACAGCAAAGAGCGUGAUGCUGAGGCGAAGAAUGCAUGAAGGGCUCUCGUGGCAACCAAGCAUUUCUCCUCCACGUGUCAUCACCACCAGCAUCCGCUGCUUGCACUUGGACAGCAUUGCUUCCAGCCAACACCAUGUGGUUCCUUGCCGCAUAGUUUGCUUCUGUCUCUUUUCAGACUGUAAGCUGAGACUGCAGAACACGCGCCGUCUCAGCUAGAAACUUAACUCUGAUUUUAAAAACAAAUCAAAAAAUCCAGCCAGCUGCUGAUGCCCUUCCUUUCUGCACUGAAUCACAGGGAGCGUGGAGGCCGUGCUAUUACACUGAUUCCAGAGAUGGUGAUCAGGAAAAUACUGUCUGUGCUCCUCAGAAGGACUUGAUGCGAACUGUUGCCAGAGAUUUGUCACUCGGUGGAUGGAGUGCGGGAUGGAACAUAGCAGCUCCUGCUGGUGCCUUUGUCAUUGCUCCAAGGUGUGAGACCACUCGUGCAGCAAGGGGAGGGAGAGGGAUCAGAGCUCAGGAUGGUCCUCAGGUGGAGAAAGGCAGCAUGGAGAUGGCUACAGUGAGAAGAUCAAUGCUCAAGCAAGGCCACCGGGUUCAUGCCAGCACCCAGAGACCAGGGCUCUGGUGUCCCCAGCCCACAUGCAGUGAUAUCCAAAAGAGCAUGGGAUGUGACAGAAGUCACCCAUCAGAGACAGGCACGUGGGAGUGUAGCAAGAGAUGUUUUGUAAUCAUAAAAGCAACCAACAGCAUUGUAAAGGCUGCAAAGCAGAGACUGGUGAGAAUGUGUAGCUCCAACAUUCAGCAUGAAUUGGCAAAGCAGGCAUGUAAGUAAUCAUAGAGGGCCAUUGUGCGACUGAGUCCAAACUGCUGUUUGAUGAAAUUACUUCUCUGAAUAAGUCUCACUUAACCUACAGUAAAUACCUCUGAAUAAAAUGUCCAGCCUUAAUAUACAACAUUUUAAAUGACAGAGAAUUUAUCCCAACCUUUGGCAAAUAGUUCAAACAGAUUAUCAGCCUUUCUGUUUAGAACCGUCUUAGUGUUUCUAGCACAAAUUAAUCGGGGUGGAGUGUCUAAUUGCUGGUAACUGGAUCUGUUAUGGCUCCAUGUGCCAAGCUGGCAGCUCCUGUUACCAGAUUCCUGCUUCUCAGAGGCAGCCCUUGCAGGGAGAGAGCUGUGAUUCUGCAGUGGGACCGGUGCUGGAACUGGGGAGGCUGCCCCAGGCCUCUGCCUGUGCCGGCCUUGCUCUCAGUGUGACAUGGCGGCUCUGGGCUGUGGAGGAGGUCUGGAUACUAGCUCAAGGGCUGCUGCCGUCCUUCUGGCCUGGGAUGACCCAAAUCUGCUCCUACAACCUGUUGGACAGGAGCUUGUUGAGGCACGGGGAAGCUCCAUGGGGUUGGACUGGAUUUUAUUGCUGUGGUUUCCCAGGCCGCUCUUGGGGACCAACGUUUUCUCUGUCAGAGUGAAAGCGUGCCUGACAGAGGGAGUUGUUUCAGAGCUAAACAACGUCUGUGUUUAAACAUUUGUUUUUAAUUAGGCUUCUGCUCUGUGGCCAAUUAUGAAGCCUGAAACCACUGGGCAUCAGUAGAGCCAUCCCUUGUCAAAGCCGCCAUACUUGCUGCUCCUCACUCUCUGGCGGGAGGCCCCGUCUGCUCACCCCUUUGUUUCCUCCUGCAGCCAUCCUGCAGCUCUCCUCCUUUCUCCUGCUGACCCUUAAGCUAUUUUCAGUAAACCUCUUUCUUUUCCCAGUGGGGGCAUUCUGUAAUUAAGGAGGCAGUGAUAACAUCUAGUGAUUAUUUACUGAUGUCCUUUAAAAAGGGAGCUCUGAGCCUGUCCCCUCUUCUCCCUUCCUUGCCAUAAACAGAGCUUAGUGUGGAACCUGGAGCUACGCUGAUGUGUGUGCUGAUUAGAUGCCUCUUCUUAGUUCAACUUGUUUGUCCAUACUGACCAUUUCCUACACGUUAAGGCCUUUUAGAAAGAGGACACUUUCCUGCCCAGCCUUCUCCCAUUUUUUGAGCACGUGUCCCCACUCACUGCAUUGGGUGCCCCAGAAAGGAGAGAGACAACCCAAUCUAGCGCAACGCCUUUGCUGUGGUGCCUGCGGGGAGCUGUCACACAGAUGGCCUCAUCCCAGGUCUCCUUUAUUGAUGUUGUUACACAGCCCUGCGCUAUGGCAACUGGAGCAGGAGAGAUGAGGGCCCCAAGAUGGCUGCCUGGGCUGGGGGUGUUGAUCCAGUGUGGGUGAGUCACAGGGCCGUGCUUCACCUCAGCCACCUCCGGCAGCUCUGCUGUGAGUCACCGCAGCCUGAGAAGACUUGCAGCACUUCCUGGGCCACGGGGAGGAGGGCAUCGGGUGACAACAUCACCUGUCAUGGGGAUGGAGUCAUGUGGAGAUCCGCUUUGGGAGCGGGAGGAAACAGCACCCCAGGAAGGGCUCUCAGGUGUCCCAGCUGGGUGUGUGUUUUGGUGUUAUGGGACCUACAGGGCAAAGACACUUCCCACAGGGGAGCAAGGAGGGGUGGCAAGGUGUGUACGCAUCACUCUGUCACAGCAAAACCUGCAAGACGAGGAGGGGGGAUGCAGCAGAGGGUUUGUGGAGGAGCCAGUCCCCCAGAAACACUGGGGCAGCCCCAUGUUUCAAGUGAGAAGUGUAAUAGACUGGUACGAAGGGGCAAAGUAUCACUGUGCGCAUGCAGGGUGCUCUACCUGGAAGCUCUGGAGCAAUCUUCAGGUCAGGCAGACAACCUCACAGGAGCAGUCCCUCGCCUUUUCCAGAGGAGUCACUUGGCUGGUUGGUGCAUGAAUGCAUGAGAACGAGUCACCAGGUGGAUGUGGCGAGUUCUGGGCACAUUGUGCAUGACCACUGUGUCCCUGCUGUGUCUCAGAUUAUAAAGAUGUGCACUGUAGCUGCAAUGUCAUGAGGCAGCCAAUGGUAGUGCAGGUGGGGUGAGCUCUGGAUGCUCUCCACAGGUGCAUCUGGAGCUGUUUGCAGAAUGUGGCACAGUUCGCUCUGAGAGAUGCCCUAAAAGCCUCCUGUGCACAUCGGGCCAUCCCAGAGGUGCAGGUGUUUUUCUGCUAUACUGCCUGAAUGUGGAUGUGGGAGAGCCGUGGGCUCCAAUCUGUGAAUCCUGGCUUUAUGUGACCAAAGUCUUUGAAGUAGUUCUCCAGAGAAGUGGCUGAAAAGCAAGGGCAUUUCGAAAUGCUCAGAGUGUGGAGGAAACCUGCUGGGUCUGCUGGGUUUUGCUCCAGAAUAGGUAGGGCAGCUCAGGUCCUCAUUUUCUGGAGGCCAGGAAUGUGCUGGGUGUCUCGACGGCCCAAAGGGUACUUGGCUCAUGUACCCCCAGAUAGGCAUUUGGCCCUGUGUGCAUCUUGUUUUCAUGAAUGGAAGAGCUCGGUGUGCCCCAUUCUUUCCACCUGUCUUUUAUCAGUUUACUCUUCAUAAAAGGAUUAUGCUAAUGCAUGUCUUGGCCUCAUCCCAGUGGUGCCUCAUAUCAGCUGGGAGCACCCAGCAGCAGCAGCCAGGCCUUCCUGUUUCAGGACAGAUAUUUGGGGCUGUAUAAGUCGCACACCCUAAAGUUAACUGUUUGGUUACAGGAAGCCACGCUGUUGAUUUGGUGUCCUAAUGACCAUGACUUCAGUGAAACGACUGAGGUUGGAAGGACCCUUUGAGUCAACCAGGUCCAGCCCCAGCUCCAGCAGGGCCACCCAGAGCAGCUCCCCAGGCCCACAUCCAGGUGGCUUUGGGAGAUCUCCAAGGAGGAGACUCAAUAGCCUUUCCGGGCAGCAUGUAUCAUUUCUUCUGUUUUGGGAUGUAGGGCUGCUUAGAAAUAGAACUCUGAUGCUUUAUAAUGAGGAUUUUGGCUCUCCUAUCUUACACAGAGAAUUAAUUUUAUUCAUUUAGUUUGUAAAUGGGUCCAAAUUAGAACACAGUGGGGCAAAGAGGUUGAUGAGAUGAGCAGAGCCACAGGCAUUGCAGCACAGUGACCAUGUGUCAGGAGCAGGUGCUCACUGCUGCCUUGCAGGAGGAGUUUCUCCAGGAGCAGCCGAGCUGGGACAUGCGGUGUGUAAGGGUUGAGCCAUGUGUCAUUACUCAGAGAAGCAAGACAAAUGAGAAAUCAAUUGAACAUCAAACCAUGGCUGCUGAUUGUCUGUGUUGAAAAUAAAUGAUUCAUCGAGUGCUUUAAUUGAUUCAUAUAUGCGGCAGGGAGUUCCAGUCUUGAUUUAUGGACCUUUCCACCAGUCAGGCAGGAAAGUCUUGCUCCCACUCACUUUAUUUGUGCAACAAACAUCCUUUUCUCUUGGCAUGGGUUAAGCCAACCCGCUUGUAAGCUUUUUGUCCCUGACUGUUUACUCUGCUUUAAAGCGAUUGGUCACUUGGCUCACUCAAGUAGUGCUACUGCUAUCAGAACCAGGUAACUGAUUUGGAUUCUAUAUCAGAGGUGUCCAGAAGGCAUCAGCAUAGCCCUAAGCAAAAUGCUGGGCUUUGCAGCUCAGAGAGCUGCAGCCUGCAGUGCACUAUGCCCACAGAUCUAUGUGACUGUGUUAAUGAGACUGCACUUUCUCCCUGCUGCUCUCCCAGCUAAGGAGGAGGUUCUGGAGAUCUGCUUUUUGCCUUCUCACAGCUGUCCCACAGGUUAUCAGAACAGCAGGGCAGCCAGGGGGUGUUGGCUGUGGGUGAGGAGGUGGAUGGUGACUUGCCUAAUCUGUCGGUGGCACUGCAGUGGAUCGGGGAGAGAAGGGCUCCAUCAGCACUGGCACUGGCGGAACGACACAGGGAGAGAAAAAGGCCUUGGAAAGUUGUCGCAGGGUUUGUCAGGAAGCUAAAGGCAGACUCUUAUUAGCCAUGUGUGCCCCCAGUUGUACGGAGGGGAGCAGCCAGCCAGCCCCUUCACCACCCAAGCUGUGUGGUGGUGGUGUUUGCUGUUGGGCUGUGUGUUUUCCUCUAGGUUUGUUCACCUGUCCUGUAGGCUGGGGGCAAAGAAACAGAGCAAGUUGUCUGAAGGGAACUAUAAUAAAAUAUUGCAGAGUGUCCAGGAGGGCUUUGAAGGUGGUGAAGGGUCUGGAGGGCAAGAAGUAUGAGAAGAGGCUGAGGCCUUGGUUUGCUCAGCCCACAGCAGAGGAGGUGAGGGGAGGCCUCAUGGCGGCUGCAGCUCUUCACAGGGAGUGGAGGGGCAGCGCUGAGCUCUGCUCUCUGUGACAGAGACAGGGCCCAAGGGAAUGGCAUGGAGCUGUGUCAGGGGAGGGGCAGGUUGGGUGUUAGGAAAAGAUUCUUCAACAGAGGGUGGUGGGCAUGGUCCCAAGCUGCCAGAGCUCAAGGAGCAUUUGCAUGAUGCUCUCAGACACAGGGUUUCGAUUUUGGAUGGACUCACAGAUCUUCGUGGGUCCCUUCCACCUCAGAAUGUUCCAUGAUUCUAUGAUGCUCCAGUCAAAUGGCGCCAAGCUCCUCUACCUGCCACAAACCACAGGAGAUGCUGCAACUGAUAGGUAGGUUGAAAUGGUGUGAGAAACAAAAUCAACCCCACAGUUGCAAUCUCUUGCAAUGGUUUGCCUCCAAGUUGUAACCCAGUAACCCAGGGGUUGAUUAAGGAUGGAGUCUGAGCAGCCUUUGGCUUUGUACAGCCCACAGCUGCUGCACUGCUGUAGGAUAAACUGGACUGCAGGAUCUGCCUGGCUAAGAAACAGUGCUUUUCAUCAGGCUGUUUCUCAGAUGGAUCUUUUCCUUUUUUCACCUAUUUCUUUACGCUAAUGUCAGGACUGGUGCAGUGGGAACAGAUGAGCUCCUGUUUUUCUGUAUCAGUUCUGCUGAAUUCCAAAUCAUAGCUACUGAGGUUUGCACUGACAGUAGCUACACUAGCCUGGUGGAAAGCAUGCCCAGCCUCUGUAAACACAGGGUGUCUUCAUGAUUUGAUCAACUGGCAUUGUUACCUCAGUCUGUUUGGCAAUGAGACAGUGAACCGUGCUGCCACAUAUGUUUGUCUUUCUUAGGUGAUAUGUUUUUUAUUGUGUCAGAAAGAGUUUGUGCCUUGUGUCAGUCCGCUCCACUCUUGUUUAGGAUGGUGCCCCCACAAAUGAGAAAAAUAAACUUGGAAACCACCCUGGGUCUGCACCAGAGCUGUCUCAAGGCCCCAUGAGCCUGAGCUUCCUGCAGCCCAGCAGUAUAGCAUGAGCAAGUUAUCUGAGUUGCUUUUUCCCUACCAAAUUCCUGGGUUUUGCAACAGAGGGUUUCCAAAGCCUGCCAGGGAUGGGUCCCAGGGCUUUGUUUCCUGGCCAGAGGAGCGGUGUGCGAAUGCACUAAUGGAAAUGGUCUGUGCACAGUUUCUUCAACAACAAGAGAUGUGUUGAAGCUGGGUCUGGUUGUUCCUUCCCUUGGUGCGUAGCUCGCCUGGCUCUGCAGCGUUUCACUGGAGAUAGCAUGGAUUGGGUAUGGCGAGAGGAAGCGGGACUAAGGGUUAAGAGCUUUGACUGAGUUCUGAAUAAGCUGUCUAAGAAAACAGAUACGUUGUGAAAAGUAAGAAGAAAAGAGAUAUGCUGAUGGUUCUGGGCAGUUGCACAUGUGGUUGUUACAGAUAAGGACCAGAUCCUCAUACAGAAGAAUGCUGGGUGUGCUUCUUGUGUUCUUUACUGGUUCAAAGUCAGCAAUGUAAACGUGGGGAGGGUUCCUUGUUCCCCAUAUGAAGGACAUAGGUGAGUCGAGCACUGCUCUGUAAGCGUUGCUUCAGCGCUGGUUCUGCAGAGAGGCUGAAGGAACUCAUUAUUCAUGAUUUUAUCUUACUACCUGAAAUACAUAAAUAGCCUAAAGGUUCCUCUGAUGGACUUUUUCCAGCUCUUUGAUGUGCCAAAGAUAAUUUCUAACAUACUCCCUCAACCUGUCCCCCCUCCCUAGCUCGGGUUUAAUGUUUCUACUUGUUAUGUUUACCUGUCUGUACUAGGCUGCAAGCUCUGCAAGGCAGGGGCCUUGCCAUCUUUCAUGUUGAAGGAGUUGUAACAUCAACAACUAUAAAACAGGAUACAAAUUAUCAAAGCAACAAAAAAUGAGGCAGCUCAGCUCUUGGGCAUCUUCUGCACUGAGAAGCUUGCACCGAGCCUCACGGUGCUCUGGAUUUUGAGUCUGCGUGACUGCAGCAGAGAGAGUGGAUGGGUGCAUCCCCAGACCUGUCCCUGGACUUCAGUAGAUUAUAUGCAAGAGAUGGGUAAAGCUGAGUCAUGUGUGCUGCCUGCUCCAAGUCCUUGCAGAUGGGACGUGUCCCUGAGCGUCCCUCUGAUCCAGCAGCACGCCUGGGAACCUCCAGUACGCUAGCAGCCAGGUCCUGCUCACCUUCCCAUUCUGAGAGCCUCUUGCAGCCUAGGAUGUGUCACUGUUGCUGCGAUAACCUCCUGUUGUGCUGGGAGUGGUGCCUCUGUGGUGGCAGCCAGGGAGCAGGCUUUGAUCCCGUGCAUCCACGCUUCUUUUGGGAUCCCAGCCUCUGUGUCUCCCUUGCCUAGGGCUGCAGAAGGCCCUCACAAUCUCUUCACAUGCAGAGCAGCACCCUUGGGUGCUCACAGUCACUCUGGCCCUUUGCUAGGAUCCAGAAGUGCUCUCAUCGCUGGCUCCUUCUUUGCCCAUCUGCCUCUGCAGACUCUUCCACACUUCUUUCAAACAAAGCUAUUAUUCCGCUGACCCAGGCCUGCUGUUUGCUGAUGAAUUGGAUGCUGUUCACUGCAGCUCAAAAUACUCUUUGCUGCUCUUAAUGCUUUCCAUUCAUUUUCUAUGGCGAUCAGAUUCAUGGCAGCAGCUACGCAGCUUUCAUUGAUACCCAAUGCAGCAUCUAUACCCUCAGCAAAGGCUUUUUUGUGCAUCAGGCUCCAAACCUUUCAAGCAGGCUAUGGUGAAAAGCCAUAAUGUCCCUUUUCUGCCAUGCCCCAAGCCACCUGCAGCCUGUGAAAGAGCACAUUGUUUCUGCAAUUAACGAAACAACACAGGCAGUGUCUUUGCUGCUUGUGGGAGAGGGCUCUGGGUAAUCCCUCCUUGCUCUGCUCCCAGCCUUCAUCCCACCCCCCAUCCUGUCUGAGGCCCAAUUUCAGCCCCACUGCUGCUUCAUUCCAAAUGAGGGUGAGUUUUGCAGGAUAGCAUUUUGGUCCAGCAGCUAAAUGAACCUCCUGAUAUAGUGUUACCCAGUGGGCUGGCUGUGCUGGGUGCCACAGGCAGCUCCUAGGUGUGAGGGUUUUCAAUGAACAGCCACAGUUUUCUUCUUGCUCUCUCUGGAAGACUGUGUGCCUCUAAGUGACCAACGUGGAGAGGGAGGUGUUGGGUUGUUGUGUUUUUCCUUCUUUUUCCUUUUCAUUUUUCUCUUCCCAAAAAAGCACUGUAUAGGGGAAAGGUGCUGUACUACCUUUUGCUCAGAUAAAAGGAGCCUGACAGCUUAGCACUGCUCAGAGACAGGAAAAUUGCUUUGUCUGGUGAAUAUUCUAAAGACAUGAAAUAACAAGACAUGAUCAAAAUCCUCUGCUCAACAGAAGAGCUGUUGCAGCUCUUGCAGAGCCAACAAUUCCUUUGUUUCCCUCAGCUUCUGUAGAACAAUGUGAGAGAAGGAGCAGCAGAGAUUUGUGACUGCUUUCUGCUAACGAAACAGGAGGUUCGGGCUGCAGUUUGUGCUGGCAGCCUCAGGAAAAGUCCCUGCCCCAGCAGAGAAGUUGGGGUUUACCACGGGCAGGUCCUUGCUGGCACUAACCUGGUUCACCUGCUGGAGAAAGGAGCUGUCAGCGACAGUUCGGCGCUGUCGGGAGCCACCCAGAUGCAGCACGGGCACGUUGGCGUGGUGCAGUGCCAGCCCCGCGCUUACGCCGCUUAUUUUCCAUACAUGGAGCAGCGUCAUGCAGGGAGCAGUAGUGCUGCCUAAGGGAAACCAACAGCGCUGAACCAAGGGUGGAUAACACGCUGAGCUAGCAAAAGGCCAGAAGUAGCACAGCUCAACCAGGGGCUGCAGAUGCAGAACCCCCUGUUUGGUAGGGCCAUCCCUCAGACGAGGCUCGCGGUGAAGCCAGGCACGGGGACUGAGCCGCCUGUUUGCCUUGUGGGAGAAGUCCCAGGCUGCAGUUAGCUUUGGAUGUUUGAUCCUGUCUGAGGUCAUUUCUUCUCCUAUCUGCAAUAUUUCUAUUGCGAAUGCCCUCAAGCAUUUAAUUGAUGUAACACCUCUAAUUGCCCAAUGAACAUAUUGCCUCCAUUGUCCCUGUGAUCCCAGCCACAAACGUCGGGGCAGGAACCUAUCAUUUGCUGGCUUACAGAUGGAGAUGCCGGUAAACAACAGCGUUCUGUGGGUGUCACUGGGAGGUGAUCCCAUCCGGAGCCAGCGCGGGGCUGCCCGUGUGGGAAGCAGGCCAGCAUGCCUGCUGGGGUAGCCACAGCCAGCUUCAUUGCUCAACAACAUUUUUACGUUAUUUUUACAGGGUGCCCAAUGGCCGGGCUUGCCACUGAGCAGCCAUGGGAUGGUGGCUGCAUUGAAUUCCCGGUGAUCCCACUGUUUGCUGGGGGAAAGGCAGGGGGGCAGGAAUGUCUGUAGGUGCACGACGCUGCCUCUACGAUAGGAGAACCCAUCCAUCAAUGUCAGCCUGGAAAAGAGAGGGCUGGGGGCUAUGGCAGGAGCCUAGGGCAUGAUGAAUAGCAGGAAGAAUGGGAGCUGUUGCUCACAAGAUGUAAGGGAUGUUAAAUGAAGUCAUAGACCAGAUAUUUUUAACGCAUUGAGGAGGAAGUCUUUUUCACAUGGACGUAAUUAAUUGGCAGAACUCAUUGCCACAGGAUGCUUCAGGUGCCGAAACUAUACAUUGGUUCAAAAGCAAUUAGGCAAAUUAAUGGGACAGUAACCAGCAGAGGCCUAGUGCGGCUGAUACUGCAGAUGCUGCCUGUGGCUUAGGAAACUGCUCUCCCCCCAUGACCAGAGCUGCAGCCCAGACACACUGUGUCUUCUCCUCCCAGGGUUCUCCAUGCAGGAUUUGCAAUACCCCAGGCAUAGGGAGUUUUCCCCAGUGUAGAAAGAAAUCCCCAGGUCCCCAGCACUGCCACGUGCUUUGCAAGGAGUUGGGGCAGGGGCCUCAGCACACGUGCUUCCACUCCACUCUCUAUUCUGCUGGAUGGGCGAUCCCCAAGGCGCUUUCCCUGUGAUUUGCACAGCUCCAGCUAACUGUGGGAUGUACUGAUGCCAUGAGGUACAGGUGCAGUGCCCAGAAAUUGCAAGGAAAUAGCCCUCGUGUAUAUGCAGGAGGAAAGAGUGAGGGGGUAGUCUGCAGGCUGUGAUUAAAGCUCAGUGCGUUUACAUUUUAAAUGCUCCAGUGCUCAGUCAGUUUAGAUAGCUUAAUCUUUGAGAAUUAGAUAGCUUAAUCAGACAGAAAUAGAAACGGCACAAAGAAGGUCCUGUAAAACCCCAGGGCUCUGGGUAGAGGCGCUCCAAGUUUGACUUCAUUUUUGUUUAAUGCAGCAGUCUGCUAGGUGCUUUUUAGACAAAGUGCCGGAAAGAGAUUUCAUGUGAGGUGAUAUGUAAAGCAAGAACUGUGAUUUGUUUAUUACAUUAAAGAACACAGGCAGAGCUUUAGGAUAAAAGAGUGUAAAAUAAAAUGACGUGGGAAGCCAAACGGCAGCACUUUGUGCCUGGCAGAGAGUGGUGGGACGUGGACUGUGCCAGGUUGCCUUCUCUGCACCGCCCUGGGCUUGAAGGGAUGCUCACGUUGACUUGGGCUUGUAAGGACACUGGCUGCCGCAUAAGGAAACAGUCAAUGGAUGAGAUCUACAGAGAAAAAAACAAACAAGGAUAUAAAUGACAUUCAGCUUUGCUUGUUGAGGUUCACCAAACCUCAUAUUUUCUUCCCAAGCAGAUGUUUUGUUUUGUUUUGUUUUCCUGGCUGAGUGUAUCUUCAGAGCUACUCCAAGGCUGUUUAUUGUAAAGCAAAAAAUCACCUUUGGAAACCAGUUGUGGAAAAUAACACAGGUGACAGCAGUGCAUACCUGCGACACAGCAUUCCUGGGCCUCCGUGGAAAUUCAACAGCCGUGCCGUAUAAUCAAGUCUCCUACUCCCGGUUAGCCUAUCUUGAUCACUUGGAAAAUCUGUAUUCACCCAUGAAAAAUGCACUCGCCCCAAGGCGUGCAGGCGUGGGAUUAUUUACCCACGGUUGGUAAGGGCAGUGAGUGCCUGGCAAAGCCAAUCUGUGUGAGGUGGGCAGUGUAGCUUUUGUUGAAACUCUCCAUCCAAUUAGCAUUCCUACACUGCAUCCUUCCUCCAUUUAUUCUGUCUCUUUUUUUUUCUUUCCUGUCCCUGUAAUGAUGCUUGAGGAACACUGUAGAAGCACUCAUUUUGAGCAGUUUGUCCCCCCCCCCUGUUGUUUCCUUGUUUGUCUCUGCAAAUCCCCAGAGCUCCCCAGAUGCAGCAGUGCAUCAUCGGCCCCCAGCCCUGUGCAUGGAGCUGACAUUGUGUUUUAUGGUUCAAAAUGAAGUGAAAACCUCUGUAGUUACAGUCUCCAGUAAGCUCGCUCAAGGUAGCAAGGAGGAAGAAGAUAAUCUAUUCGGGUCAUUAAGAUGUGAGCAGAUUUCAGCCUGUCCUAAUUAACCCUGUUUGAAAUUUGGCAUGUAUAUAAUCCAUUUUACACACCAGUCCUGACUGAAACUGGUAUUACAGUUCUGCCUCUCAGCAUCUGCUUUUGCAUUUGGAGGCAGUUUACAUAAAUGGGCGGCUUUCAUCUGUGCUCCCACCCCAGCUGUCUCGCAGCAGUGUGGAGCUGUGUUCCCCUGCCCGUCAGGGACAGGCUCAGUGGGGGCACCAGGACUACCAGCAUCAUGGCACACGCUCUGCAGCGGCCUCAGGGGUCCCCGUGCCAGCCUGGGAGCGACACUGGUAGCUGCUUCAAGGAGCUGCCAGAGAACCAGCUCUGUUUGUGCAAGGGUUUGUUUGGUUUUCUUACGAGUGACGUUGAACGAGUGAGCCGUUCCCAGAACAUGCUGCCUAAGCUGACCUUAUCCCUUUAGCCACAAGCGUACCUGCGGCUCGCUGUUUGCUCCCUAGCUCUUUAUGAAUGCUGGUGGGAAUGGCCUGUGGCAGGGCAUGUGGCUUCUGGCAGCAGUAUGUCACGCUGCAGCACCUACCACCCUUUGCCUCUCACCUUGUUUUGGGGUCUUUGGACAUGGUAAGGACAGGCACCCAAGGACAUUCCCAGGCAGAAAAGAGAAUUAGCACCUCCUGGGCACAUCUGCACUGGGAGGCUCCAGCCUGUGGCCUGGAGCUGAAGCACGUGGCAGAGGAAUACAAACAAAUGAGAGGAAGGCUGGUGGUAACUGAGCACAUUUUCCAACACUUUGAGCAACUGUAUUGAUCUCAGCUCAAAGCUGAAGUUUUGGCUGUAAACAAUGAAUGAUAGAGGCCAGGCUUUUAAACGGCCUCUCUGAUGUCCUGGGAGGACACAAGGCUGCUUUGUAAGUGUAGGAGCCAGUCCUAGUAGUGACAAGGCAGAGAGGAAGGUUGUAUUCAAUGCUGAAAUGAUGGUGAAUUGUAUCAAGAGGCUGCUGUGCAAGGGCUGUGGGAGGCAGACAAGUCCCAGCAGGCCUGGGGCACUGCCUGGGGUGUGGGCAGCAGCACAAGGUGAGCCCAGGGCUGAGAGCCUCCCUGUGCUUGGAAGGACAGCCCUGAGGGCUUUCAUAUUGCCAUGCCACCAAAGGGCUUCCACCUGCCUCCGUGGGGUAACACAGCUUGAGGCAAAGGGCGAACUGCCCUCGGCUAAGGGUGUUGUCUCAAUUUGCCUAAAGCUGAGCAGUAGAAGAAAAUGAAAGGUUUUGUGUGUGUGUUUUCAUUUUGUUUGUUUGCUUUCCCCCAAAUUUAAACCACGGUAAGCAGUUUGCUUUCUGAAGUUAAAUUAUCAAGUUGCAUUUUAAAAAGCUAUUUCUGUUCAUGACAGUGGCAAGACUGGAAACUGACCACUGUGUGUCUCCUCAUAAUUGUUUGCCAGAGAAGGGCACAGAGGGCCGAGAUCUUCAUAAGUGAUGACCAUAGAGCUCUGGCCCUUCAAGUGAGCCCAGCUGUGCUCCUUGAUGCUCCUUGAAAGUCCCAAGAGGGUCACCUCACCCCUCAGUGCCUGCAGGUAGCAAGGCCUACCAAUACUGCUUGCUAACGCGGCUACCAAAUGUCAUCUGUCCCACGGAGCUAAGCAGUGUGACAAUAAUGACUCACUGCAGACACACCUUGACCAUCAACUCUUUUGUGAGCCUACCGCACCCUUUCCUGCAGGCUUUGACUCGCUUGGUCUGAAAAGCAUCUUGGAGUUUUUCCUUUGAUAGAGAGUGGCCCUCCGACAGUUUACAGAUGAGGGACAAACCUGUGACUGUACCGCUGGCUUUGCCUGAUGUACCAUUAACGCGUGCUGAUGGUGCUCUGCCUGAAGGCAUUUGCCCUUAGAGAACUGGGAUGCAGAAAUCGUUCAUUUUGUAAUAACUGGAAACUGAGGUUGUAACAAUAUGAGGCACACGUGGAAUUGUACGCUAUCUCUGGAGGUACAUCUAUUUGACAAGGUCAAUACAAAACCAGGCUGCUUUUUGGGUAGUACUUUUAGGCUUGGACAGAAAAAAGUGUAUCUGCAGAUUUAUCCAGUGACUUAAUAAACAUCUUUCUUUUCUCACGUGAACACGUAAUUUGUGUAAGUGCACUGCGAAGUUUAAGAUCUGACUGUUUUCACACUGGUUUCUCUGAAGUUUAUAUUCAAUCUGUGUGUACAGCUCUCACUGUAAUGCAGAUUUAGUUAAUCCCUAUUCCCAUUUCAACAAAUAACCUAAAUAGUGCUAAAAGUUACGAGCUGUGGCUGAAUUCACGUUCUCCUCCCUGCUCACCACAGUCCAUAAUAUUUACUAGUUGAUGUCAUUCAAUUUUAGCCUGACAAUCUGCAUCCUAACGAUUUUUUGGUGUUGCAAUUAAUUGAUUUGCUAAUGUCUUUCUUUUGCCUUUCCCCCCUUCAUUUCCACAUUCCUUUGUCUCCUCUGCUCACAGUGCCUUUAAGAAGUUAUAAACAGAUUCUCUCCCACCAUAUUUGUUUACAUAUGGACAUGGUUAUAC
rnacentral:lncRNA from 1 species